AUUGGGAAAUGACAAUUAAUUCAUCUUAGAUGUACUUUAUGUUUUUCUUUCUGAAUGAUGAGAAAUUGCACGGCAGUCUGAUUCCACC